AUACGUAGGGUGCAAGCGUUAAUCGGAAUUACUGGGCGUAAAGCGUGCGCAGGCGGUUUUUUAAGACAGUGGUGAAAUCCCCGGGCUCAACCUGGGAACUGCCAUUGUGACUGCAAGGCUGGAGUGCGGCAGAGGGGGAUGGAAUUCCGCGUGUAGCAGUGACAUGCGUAGAUAUGCGGAGGAACACCGAUGGCGAAGGCAAUCCCCUGGGCCUGCACUGACGCUCAUGCACGAAAGCGUGGGGAGCAAACAGGAUUAGAUACCCUGGUAGUACACGCCCUAAACGAUGUCAACUGGUUGUUGGGGAUUUAUUUUCUCAGUAACGAAGCUAACGCGUGAAGUUGACCGCCUGGGGAGUACGGCCGCAAGGUUAAAACUCAAAGGAAUUGACGGGG
rnacentral:rRNA from 1 species